rnacentral:lncRNA from 1 species
UGUCAAAAUGGAAAUAACAAUAACAAAAUUUGUUUACUUCAUUUCAACAUCACUUUCAAACUCUUCAGCAAACACUAUCUGACUGUAAAACUCCUGAAUUUGGUGAUGAUCUUCUCUGGAUGUGAUAUCAAGCAGUGAAAAGUCCAAUAAAAAUUUGACAUUAUUUACUUUUUCCCUCUGUAUAGGCAAUGGGAGAUUAUGAUAAGCAUCUUCUGGAAGGAUCAUAUUUGACACACUGCUUUGUCUUUUAUCACGUUUUAAGACUGGAACUAUUCAUAGUGGAGCUGAUUUUAGCCUCUUGCUGGGUUAUGAACAUACAUCUCACAAUAGAGAUAUGUAGAUUUGGCAUGGUCCCCAUGAAGAGGGUCAAAGCUGACUUCCAGUCUUUUACAGGCACAACAGGGAAAUCUACACCAGAUACAGCAUAAUUAACACAGUGUAAAUCAUAUUUAGGUUUGUCUUUCAGAAAGAGUUCAAAAUAGGCCUUUAAGUGCACAAUCCUUUCGGUGUUCUUCUGUUUCCUUUCAGCUCAGGCAAAAUCUUUAUCACAACUCAGAUAAUUGUGAGCAGGUAUUGGAUAAUACACUUGUAUUUCUUUGAACAUAUUACAUUUGCAUAAGUACCACACAUAAAACAACAGGAAAUAACUUCAUUUGGACCCUUUUUUGCUGCAAACUCUGGGUACACAAAGAAAUGUGGCACUGUACUCUUGUGUUCGUGGAUAUCAAAAAUGUAACACCAAAGUUGCUGUUUGUAAUAUUCUUUUUGAAUACAGGUUUUUGGUAAUGGUAAAUUCUUCUCAUAAUCCAUACUAGUAACCAUUACAUUUCCACUUGUUUCUAA